AGAUUAAGUGGAACAGUGUAGUCAUAUGCGCAAAAGAAUGUAGCCAUACUGUUAUAGAGGGGGGUGAAGCCUCAGUAUCUUCUUCUUCUAUGCAGAAGUGAGCAAAGCCCAAUAAUCUUACCGAUAUUUGAAAGUAUGUAUGUGGAUUUUCAAGACACGGUGCAGGCUUUGCAUCAUUCCAAGUAUAAGGCAAGAUACACUUGGUUCAGUCUGUGGGCAGUGAUGUCAGCAAAUCAUUGGAAGAGUUCAGGGAGGGGCUAUUUUAGUUACGACCUGAGGCACAACAAGCAGGAGGAGUUGGCCAACUGGAGUGCUAGAUUCAGGGCAAGUUUGCCUAAGCACUUUUAUUAGUUCCGUUGAUAAUACCAGGACUGGAGAACUGAAAGCCCUUGUAGAUGCAAGAGGAACAAGAUUGACAAAGGCCUUUUGCAUUGCACUCUUGAUAAAGCUUCAAGCUCAAGGCCUUCGAUAUUUGUGAAGUUUUCCAGGAAGAAGAUUGACUGUAGCAUCUUGGAGUGCACUAAUAUUAAUAAAUAAACCCUUCAAUAUUUUUGUUGCCCAAAGGCUACAAGUUCUGUAAUUUACCCAAAUAAUUAGCAUUUUCACUACCCAAAUAUGAGUGUAAUGUUUCAGAUCAUAUAUUCCCAGUAUUAUUAAGACAUCAUGUAUGUGAAGUUA